GACAGUAUAAUUAUGAAUUUUUAUAUAAAGAUGCAAGUCCUACUUCGGUGGCACUCUGGAGUUACAUUUGAAAUUAAUUUAAACCGUUAUGCAUUUUAAUUGAAUUUUAAGUGAUAAACGUCAUACCGAUGUAUAUCCAUAGUAUACCUAAAUUAUAUUAUUUACAUAAUAAGUAAACAUAAGUUGAUUGAUGGUCCAUAAUACUUAAAGCAUUGUCUUAAUACUUAAAGUUGCUGCUGUUGCUUAUUGUUCAUCACCCUUCUUCCUGCAGGUUUAUUAACGUCAUCUAUCUUUUUUUUCCCCCUUUGAUUUAGUCUUUUAGCUGCAGUCUAGUAACCAUCUGCGGGGACCGAAGCCUUUUCCUCUUGACGGACUGUUGGCUUUAGUCUACAGCAGUGAUCCUCAAAUCUGCAAAGUUUAGCUCUAACCCUAAUCAAACACGCAUGAGUUUGCUAAUCAGUGUCUUCAGGAUCAUUAAAAUAUCACAGGCAGGUGUGUUUAAUUGGAGUCGGAGCUAAACUCUGCAGGAAACUGGAUCUUGCGAGACAGAUUUGAGGAUCACUGGUCUACAGUGUGGUUGAUGGCAGAGUUGCACCUACAGCCAGUAUCUUCUCACAGGUCAUUUAAUUGCUCAAAUGAUGAGAACCGUAGGCUUGAUGCGGUGAAGUGUCUGGAGGACUUCCUGUGAUCCUCUAGCAGUGGACGUGAACCAGGCAUCUUAAGUGGACAAAAUCACAUUACAUCACUAGGAAUUAUGGACGUGAAUGGACUGUCGGAGAAAUUAUGUUACAGGAAAAUCCUGCAUUUAUUAGUCCAAUCAGAUGUCACCAUAGAAAAAUACUCCGUUUAUACAUGAGACUCUUUCCUCAGAGAGAGAUUUGUUGGGUUUGGUUUGUUAACGUCUGACACAGCUUAAUACUAGUCUAAUAAAUACUGUAGUUUGUAAUAAUGGGUCCAAUUUAUUUUUCAUAAACUACCUGCCAAAUUUGGGGUUGGAAUGAUUUUAUUUUUAAUGUUUUUGUAUUUAUUGAUGAACAGAAUGUUCAAAAAAAAGACUUUAUUCAUGAAUUUGUAUAUUAUUAUUAUUAUUAUAUAAUUAUUUUAAUUAUUAUAUAUUUACUUUAUAUUAGCAUGGUUGAUCAAUUUAACACAUCCUCCCUCAAAGAAACUAUUAGUUAAUAAUAGUUAUGACAAAGGUAGUUUGGUGCAUUAUAUGUGUGCUCUGGUCAAAGCUUUACCACUAAUUGACUGUAUUAAACAUUAAUUCAUUUAUGUGUUCUAGAUGUUAUUCCCAUGUUCAUGCAGUGUUCAUGGUAACAUCAUGGUUGCAAAUGUCCAUUCAACCACAUUUAAAUGAGUGAGAUAUUACAUAUAUGUUUUGUGUUAUUUGGCUCCUUUGUAGAAGAGUAGCUCCGCUCAGAGGACUGACCUCCUUAUCAUUUAGCAAAAAGAUGGCAGAGCUGGCAUGAAUACCAAUCACCCUCAGAUGAAGACGGACACAACCCAGAACAAGCACUACACGAGGAUCUGGGAGAGAGGAGCGGUCUGUGCGGUGAAGGGUGUUGAGGAUCACAAUCGGGAUGAUGAGGGUGCCCUCUUGAGGAUUACUGCCAAGGAUCCAAAUUCAAAGCUCUGCGUCUGAGACACAGACACCAGCCGCUUGUCGCAGACAUAAUCCUCAGGUCAACACACUUUCCUCCAAAUGUCACCUCUCUUUUGAGCCACAGGUUCUAGUUGUCUAGGGCAGUGUCAGGGAGAAGGCCAUGGGCAAUGCUGAGGUGCGUUAAUGUAGAGAUAUAUGGAUAGUCUGUAUUGCAUAGUUGCGUGGAUGUUUAAAUAAAACUAAUGGAAACUUAUUAAAAUAAUCAUAAUGAAAAGAUUACACCAACGAUUUAUGAUACACAGUAUAGAUGUCAAUGUCACAAAACAACCACUGUUAUACAAUUUGGGGUAAACAAAAUAUGAUCUUCAUAUAAAAAUGAAAACUGGCAUCAAAUAUAAUAACAGUAGUAAAAUUUAUGAAAUGGCUUUAUGCAACAACAGCAAAAAGUACUAAUUGAUUAAAUGCUCUAAAAUAUAUUUGUGUAUACACCCACACACACACUUGAAAAAGAAAAAGCCAAAAUAAAAUGUAAAGCUUAUUUUUACACCAUUAUUACCAAUUGGGUUACAAUUUCCUGUUUAAUUUGUUUUGUUUAUUUAUUUUAUAUCUAUUCUCCUAUUAUUGAUUUCCCUGAAAAGUGAAGAGAUUUAGUUUGUUGAAGUGUGUUGACUUUAACACUGAGGUAAUGACGUACUCAUUAAAUCGGGUAAUGAAGCUGAACACAUCUGAAAUACGUGCGGAGAAUCUUGUAUCAAGAGAAGAGUAGCAUCAUUAAAACCGUUUUUGUGCCAAAAAUCCCACUGGGACCCAAUUAUGAAAGGAUGCUUUGACUUGGAGAAAUAAAACGUGAAUGGGAUUGGUUUCUGUAAUGCAAUCUCAAACCUGUUCACCAGUCUGUAAAUCUUAAUCUCAUAGAUAAACUCCUUAUUCAUUGUAUUAACACGAGUCACUGUAAAUAAAGCUGACGUGACGUGCCAAAUAUAGCGCUAUAAAUAUAGAGCCAGACAGCACGGUAAGUAUGAUCUGAGCUUUGCUCACUAUUCAAAAUGUAGCUCGCUUUUCAAUAUUUUGGGGUCUGUAAUUU